rnacentral:rRNA from 1 species
UACGUAGGGUGCAAGCGUUGUCCGGAAUUAUUGGGCGUAAAGAGCUCGUAGGCGGUUUGUCGCGUCUGCUGUGAAAACCCGAGGCUCAACCUCGGGCCUGCAGUGGGUACGGGCAGACUAGAGUGCGGUAGGGGAGAUUGGAAUUCCUGGUGUAAGCGGUGAAAUGCGCAGAUAUCAGGAGGAACACCGAUGGCGAAGGCAGGUCUCUGGGCAUUAACUGACGCUGAGGAGCGAAAGCAUGGGGAGCGAACAGG